CAGAUGUGAAAGACCCGGGGCGUCAACCUCGGAAAUUGCAUUUGUAAACUAGGCAGACUAGAGUACUGUAGAGGGGGGUAGGAAUUUCAGGUGUAGCGGUGAAAUAGCGUAGAGAUCUGAAGGAAUACCGGUGGCGAAGGCGGCCCCCUCGGACAGAUACUGACACUCAGAUGCGAAAGCGUGGGGAGCAAACAGGAUUAGAUACCCUGGUAG
rnacentral:rRNA from 1 species